ensembl:snRNA U6atac minor spliceosomal RNA
GUGUUUUCUGAAAGGAGGAAAGGAUCAUAUUCCCCUUGAUGAGGAUGGAAGGGUACUUGGUCUAAAAGGAUGCGUAUAGUUAAGGCAGUAUGACCUACUUUGCGACAGCUAACCACCGUUUUUU